UACGUAGGGAGCAAGCGUUGUCCAGAAUCAUUGGGCGUAAAGCGCGCGUAGGCGGCCCUGUAAGUCCGUUGUGAAAGUCAAAGGCUCAACCUUUGAAAGCCGAUGGAUACUGCAGGGCUAGAGUCCGGAAGAGGCGAGUGGAAUUCCUGGUGUAGCGGUGGAAUGCGCAGAUAUCAGGAGGAACACCGGUGGCGAAGGCGGUUCUCUGGGCAUGUCCUGACGCUGAGGAGCGAAAGUGUGGGGAGCGAACAGG
rnacentral:rRNA from 1 species